UACGGAGGGUCCAAGCGUUAUCCGGAAUCAUUGGGUUUAAAGGGUUCGCAGGCGGUUUAUUAAGUCAGUGGUGAAAUCCUACAGCUCAACUGUAGAACUGCCAUUGAAACUGAUAGACUUGAAUAUAGUUGGAGUAGGCGGAAUGUGUAGUGUAGCGGUGAAAUGCUUAGAUAUUACACAGAACACCGAUAGCGAAGGCAGCUUACUAAACUAUUAUUGACGCUCAUGAACGAAAGCGUGGGGAGCGAACAGG
rnacentral:rRNA from 1 species